rnacentral:rRNA from 1 species
UACGUAGGGGGCUAGCGUUGUCCGGAAUCAUUGGGCGUAAAGCGCGUGUAGGCGGUCCGGUAAGUCCGCUGUGAAAGUCGGGGGCUCAACCCUCGGAUGCCGGUGGAUACUGUCGGGCUUGAGUACGGAAGAGGCGAGUGGAAUUCCCAGUGUAGCGGUGAAAUGCGUAGAUAUUGGGAAGAACACCGGUGGCGAAAGCGCCUUGCUGGGUCUGCACUGACACUGAGGGACGAAAGCUAGGGGAGCGAAAGGG